AUACCGGCAGCUCGAGUGAUGUCCCAUAUUAUUGGGCCUAAAGCGUCCGUAGCUGGCCACGCAAGUCCAUCGGGAAAUCCACCCGCCCAACGGGUGGGCGACCGGUGGAAACUGCGUGGCUUGGAACCGGAAGGCUCAGAGGGUACGUCGAGGGUAGGAGUGAAAUCCUGUAAUCCUCGACGGACCACCGAUGGCGAAAGCACUCUGAGAAGACGGCUUCGACAGUGAGGGACGAAAGCUAGGGUCUCAAACCGGAUUAGAUACCCGGGUAGUCCUAGCUGUAAACGAUGCUCGUUAGGUGUGGCACCCACUACGAGUGGGUGCUGUGCCGCAGGGAAGCCGCUAAACGAGCCGCCUGGGAAGUACGUCCGCAAGGAUGAA
rnacentral:rRNA from 2 species